GCUUACGGCCACACCGCCUGGUUCACGCUUGAUCUCGGAAGCUAAGAUAGGUUGGGCCUGGUUAGUACUUGGAUGGGAGACCGCCUGGGAAUACCAGGUGCUGUAUGCU
rnacentral:rRNA from 1 species